AUCGCUUUUGUAGUUCAUAAUGUGAUGAUUGGGGUUUUUCCACGGACUCAUGUGAGAUGUGGCUUCCCUCAAACCUUGUUACGAUGUCGUGAUA
rnacentral:snoRNA from 1 species